GUGAGAGUGUGGCAGUGAGACGGCGGGGGAUAAGCUUCGUCGUCGAGAGGGAAACAGCCCAGAACACCAGCUAAGGCCCCUAAGUGUGUGCUCAGUGGGAAAGGAUGUGGGAUUGCCCAGACAACCAGGAGGUUGGCUUAGAAGCAGCCACCCUUGAAAGAGUGCGUAAUAGCUCACUGGUCAAGUGGUCCUGCGCCGACAAUGUAGCGGGGCUUAAGCACACCGCCGAAGCUGUGUCAUUGACACAGGAGAUCCGCGACCUUCCUUGAGGGGGUUGUGUAGUCGUGUUGAUGGGUAGGGGAGCGUCCUGCAUCCAGGGAAGCGGCCGUGUGAACGAGUCGUGGAGGGUGUGGGAGUGAGAAUGCAGGCAUGAGUAGCGAAUGCAGAGUGAGAAACUCUGCCGCCGGAUGACCAAGGGUUCCUGGGCCAGGCUAAUCCGCCCAGGGUAAGUCGGGACCUAAGGCGAGGCCGACAGGCGUAGUCGAUGGACAACGGGUUGAUAUUCCCGUACCCGAGCAUGUGCGCCCAUGACGAGGCGUUUGAUACUAACCACCCGAAGCCGGCGCUGAUGUCUUCGGACGGAGGUGUCGUGUGGAGCGUGGGACCUGAUUUCGUAGUAGUCAAGCGAUGGGGUGACGCAGGAAGGUAGCUCCGCCAGGCGUUGGUUGUCCUGGUGUAAGCGUGUAGGAGAAAGCAUAGGCAAAUCCGUGCUUUAGAUACUCUGAGACGUGAUGCGUAGCCGUUUGAGGUGAAGUAGAGUGAUCCUAUGCUGCCGAGAAAAGCCUCUAGUGAGUGCAUGCACGGCCCGUACCCCAAACCAACACAGGUGGUCAGGUAGAGAAUACUAAGGCGAUCGGGUGAACUGUGGUUAAGGAACUCGGCAAAAUGCCCCCGUAACUUCGGGAGAAGGGGGGCCAAACAUCCUGAAGCUCUUGACGGGCUAGGGGUGGGUGGCCGCAGAGACCAGCGGAAAGCGACUGUUUACUAAAAACACAGGUCCAUGCGAAGUCGCAAGACGAUGUAUAUGGACUGACGCCUGCCCGGUGCUGGAACGUUAAGAGGACCGGUUAACUCCUUUCGGGGGGUGAAGCUGAGAAUUUAAGCGCCAGUAAACGGCGGUGGUAACUAUAACCAUCCUAAGGUAGCGAAAUUCCUUGUCGGGUAAGUUCCGACCUGCACGAAUGGCGUAACGACUUUCCGGCUGUCUCAACCACAGGCCCGGCGAAAUUGCACUACGAGUAAAGAUGCUCGUUACGCGCGGCAGGACGGAAAGACCCCGGGACCUUUACUAUAGUUUGGUAUUGGUUUUCGGUUCGGCUUGUGUAGGAUAGGUGGGAGACUGUGAAGCUGUCACGCUAGUGGUGGUGGAGUCGUUGUUGAAAUACCACUCUGGUCGAAUUGGGAAUCUCAACCUCGGACCAUGAUCUGGUUCAGGGACAGUGCCUGAUGGGUAGUUUAACUGGGGCGGUUGCCUCCUAAAGAGUAACGGAGGCGCCCAAAGGUUCCCUCAGCCUGGUUGGCAAUCAGGUGUUGAGUGCAAGUGCACAAGGGAGCUUGACUGUGAGACAGACAUGUCGAGCAGGGACGAAAGUCGGGACUAGUGAUCCGGCACCACCUGGUGGAAGGGGUGUCGCUCAACGGAUAAAAGGUACCCCGGGGAUAACAGGCUGAUCUUGCCCAAGAGUCCAUAUCGACGGCAUGGUUUGGCACCUCGAUGUCGGCUCGUCGCAUCCUGGGGCCGGAGUAGGUCCCAAGGGUUGGGCUGUUCGCCCAUUAAAGCGGCACGCGAGCUGGGUUUAGAACGUCGUGAGACAGUUCGGUCCCUAUCCGCCGCGCGCGUAGGAUACUUGAGGAAGGCUGUCCCUAGUACGAGAGGACCGGGACGGACGAACCUCUGGUGUGCCAGUUGUCCCGCCAGGGGCAUGGCUGGUUGGCCACGUUCGGAAGGGAUAACCGCUGAAGGCAUCUAAGCGGGAAGCCUGUUCCAAGAUGAGGUAUCCCACCCCGUGUGGGUUAAGGCCCCCAACAGACCAUUGGGUUGAUAGGCCAGAAAUGGAAGCACAGUAAUGUGUUGUCGAGUUGACUGGUACUAAUAGGCCGAGGACUUGCCCAC
rnacentral:rRNA from 1 species